GAUGAAGAACGUAGCGAAAUGCGAUAAGUAAUGUGAAUUGCAGAAUUCAGUGAAUCAUCGAAUCUUUGAACGCACAUUGCGCCCGCCAGUAUUCUGGCGGGCAUGCCUGUCCGAGCGUCAUUUCAACCCUCGGGACCCUUCGGGGAACCGGUGUUGGGGACCCGUCCGCCGACCCACGGCGGCCGGCCCCGAAAUACAGUGGCGGCCCUGCGGCGACCUCCUCUGCGUAGUAGCGAUACCUCGCAGCUGGAAAGCGGCAGCGGCCACGCCGUAAAACCCCCACUUCUAUGGUUGACCUCGAAUCAGGUAGGAAUACCCGCUGAACUUAAGCAUAUCAAUAAGCGGAGGA
rnacentral:misc_RNA from 1 species